GGUCCCUUUCGUCCAGUGGUAAGGACAUCGUCUUUUCAUGUCGAAGACACGGGUUCGAUUCCCGUAAGGGAUAGGUCACUAUGGACGAGUUCGGAUUUGCUAAUCCGAAUAGUAAUAUUGAUUAGUUUAGUUGUACUAAACGGGGGAGCGGUAUUGCAAGCUCCAAUGCGGGCGAAAGGCCACCCCAGGGCGCGACUUCUAGUCAUGAAGUCACACUGAGGCGUCG
rnacentral:tRNA from 1 species